GACGAACGCUGGCGGCGUGCUUAACACAUGCAAGUCGUACGGUAAGGCCCUUUCGGGGGUACAUGCGUGGCGAACGGGCGAGUAACACGCGCGUAACUUGCCUACCACUUUGGGAUAACGAAAGGAAACAGGCGCUAAUACUGGCUAUGUGCUACUGCUGCCUGCAGGGGGUUGGAUAGCUCCGGUCGUUGUGGGUGGACUGGCGGGCUAUUAGCUUGGUGGUGGGGUAGUGGCCUACCAAGGAGGCGAUGGGCAGCCGGCCUGGGAGGGUGAGCGGCCACAUUGGGACGGAGGUACGGCCCAGGCUCCCACGGGGGGCAGGAGGGGGGGAUAUUGCACAAGGGGCGCGAGCCAGAUUCAGGAACGCCGCGGGCGGGGAGACGGCCUUCGGGUUGGAAACCGCUUUCAGCAGGGGCGGAACUUUUAGUGACGGUACCUGCAGAAGAAGCACCGGCUAACUACGUG
rnacentral:rRNA from 1 species